AUGGCGCCCUUUGCCGUCAAGCGAAACUUUCACACUGCAAACAGAACGAGAGGGGAAGAUUCAGUGACCCAAAACCUUCCCCAGUUAACGGGCGAGGAAGGACAGACCAUAAUACUGAACUGUAGUUACACGACCGCUGCUGCAUAUAUUUUUUGGUACAUUCAGCAUCGUGGAGAAUCACCAGAGUAUUUGCUGAAAGUGUAUAGCUCAGGAAAGAUGGAACGGCCUCCAGAGUGUUCUCAGAGAUUUACCGCUGAUUUGCAGAAAGACAGCAAGAGAGCUCACUUUUAUAUCUCCGGGGCUGUUGUGUCGGACUCCGCCGUGUAUCUCUGUACCAAGAAGCCCACACUGUUGCAGCGCGAUGGAGGGUCCGGACAAAAACCGGCUGUUGGUGUGACAAUGAGCGCACGCUAG